rnacentral:rRNA from 1 species
GACGUAGGGGACGAGCGUUGUCCGGAUUCAUUGGGCGUAAAGCGCGCGUAGGCGGUUUGGUAAGUCGGAUGUGAAACCAGAGGCUCAACCUCCUGGCCUGCAUCCGAUACUGCCCGACUAGAGGUAGGUAGGGGAGAUCGGAAUUCCUGGUGUAGCGGUGAAAUGCGCAGAUAUCAGGAGGAACACCGGUGGCGAAGGCGGAUCUCUGGGCCUUACCUGACGCUGAGGCGCGAAAGCUAGGGGAGCAAACAGG